rnacentral:rRNA from 1 species
GGGCCCUACGGGAGGCAGCAGUGGGGAAUAUUGCACAAUGGGGGAAACCCUGAUGCAGCGACGCCGCGUGAGUGAAGAAGUAUUUCGGUAUGUAAAGCUCUAUCAGCAGGAACGAGACAAGACGGUACCUGACUAAGAAGCCCCGGCUCACUACGUGCCAGCAGCCGCGGUAAUACGUAGGGGGCAAGCGUUAUCCGGAAUUACUGGGUGUAAAGGGAGCGUAGACGGCUGUGCAAGUCUGGAGUGAAAGGCGGGGGAC